UCCUAUUUUUUUUGUGUGUAUAUAUAGUCAAAUUAAACUUUUAUUUUCACCAUUGCAACAUUAUUUUUUGUAUAAUCGAAUUUCAUUAUUGAGAUUCAAAUUUAAAACCUUAGAAUUCUAAAGAUCAUUUCAGUACCAUUCACCUAAAUCACAUUAUUAUCUCGUGUCAGACCACAGGACAGGUGCCCAUACGUUAAAACCACUAGGCCCUGUAGCCCUGUACUUGUAUUAUCAAGAAAUUGCAUGGAAACAUCCUGGAAGCUGCAUUUAUUCACCUGGCAUUAUAGCUAAUAAGAGGUGGGAAGAGUUAUGGCAAUCUUACUAGUAGUGAUUGAAGGGUUGUGUCUAUGUGUUUCAACUCUUUGGGAUCUUCAAGAAAUGAGAUUUGCUGCCAUUUUUGAUGAUGUGAGCUCCAUUGCUUUGGCGAUUAUAAUGGCUGCUGUUUCCUGUUUUAUUGCUGUGAGAAGAAGGUGAAUUUCAGAUUUUCUGCUAUCACCGCCAAGCAGGUUUCUUGUUCCUUUUUCUUUUCUUGUAAAUUUUUUCAAUUUUCACUUUGGAUCAUAAAUAAAUUUGUGGGUUUUUGCCCUUUUCUAUGCA